GGUUUCAUAGUGUAGCGGUUAGCAUGUCUGCUUUACACGCAGGAGGUACUGGAUUCAUGCCCCAGUAGAGCCA
rnacentral:tRNA from 1 species